GUUUUUAAUUUCCUGUAUCAUAGCAAGAGAGAACUGCAGGAUCAGAGGGCAGCACAUAGAUAAACUGCUCAGACCCCAGUAUCUCAACUCUCAUCAUAAGAUGCCAUCAUCGCCUCUUGCGAACACAGAGCCCCACAGUCACGUUACGGACAUUGAGACAUAUUCAAUAUAAUUAAAGUCUACUGGAGGAAUAAAACAACCUGUGUUGUCUUGAUUUAUAAGAAAAAACAAGAAUGGAUUAACUGAAACACACUAUAGAAAAAUCAACAGAGAAUAGUAUAUUUUGGUUUUAAUGUUUU